AAAGUCGUAACAAGGUUUCCGUAGGUGAACCUGCGGAAGGAUCAUUACCUAGAGUUGCGGGCUUUGCCUGCUAUCUCUUACCCAUGUCUUUUGAGUACUUACGUUUCCUCGGCGGGUCCGCCCGCCGAAGACAAAAAAUUAAAACCUUUGCAGUUGCAAUCAGCGUCUGAAAAAAAUAUAAUAAUUACAACUUUCAACAACGGAUCUCUUGGUUCUG
rnacentral:misc_RNA from 1 species